AAAACCAUCCCUGAACCCAACUUCCCUCCGGCCGUUCCGACGUCGGCCGGUUUGGCACCAUUUUUUCCGAUCUAAUCAAAGUAUUUUUGGAUCUGUAGUACCAUGUCGUUCAUGAAAGGUGAUUUGCUAAGUAGAACUAGAAGGCUUGUCAAAGGUUUAGCCAAAGCUGAACCUGUAUGGCUCAAAGCAAUGGAGCAGGCUCCACCUGCUACAUUUCCUCGUGCCGAGAACAAAUUGGUACCCAUCAGUUUGCCUGAGGAUGUCUACAUCAAGAAGUUCUUCCAGAAGUACCCAGAGUCGAAACACGAGGAUGCUAUUAAAAUUUCUGGAUUUGACCCUCCUCCUGCCCGAAUUUACGGGUGGCGAGUGCUUGAGUUAAAGGAGCAGGGGGUCAGUGAAGAGGAAGCUGUGGCUGUUGCUGAUAUGGAAUAUCGUGUAGAAAAGAAAGCGAAAAAGAAGGCAUAUUCUCGAUUGAAGCAGAUUGCUCGACUUCAGGGGAAGAAACCACCUCCUAAUCCAUAUCCAAGUGCUAUCAAGGAGAUACAAGCUGAAGAAAGGAAGUAUGUGCGUGAUCGUUUCUAUAACCGAGAUAUUCUUAAAAUUGUGGAGAAACUGAAAGAGGAGAGGCAAGCAGAGAUGCAAGACAGAAGAGGUGGAGGUGGCUGGUAAACGGCCAUGGUCUUUUUUCUAAUAGUUUUUCAUUUUGCUUUUUGCCCAAGUUGGUAUACUUGGUAAUGUUUCUCAUACCCUUUGUCGAAGUGUUGUUACUUGAUAAUGUUAUGAUACCCUUUCCUCAUGUAUUAGAAAAACGUUUCACUGCUGGUUUAUGUAGUAGACUUGGAGUUCAUAUUCCGAU
rnacentral:misc_RNA from 1 species